AUGGAAAAUAAACAGCUGCAAGAAAAAACUCUAACACUGGCCAAUCAGAUAGGAAUUUUAGAUCGGUCAUUGAGAAACCUUCAGUCGCUGUGUACUGUUGAGGAGGUCAAGAAAAUGUUUCCUUCUGGAUCUCAUCCUGAUGGCCAGCUGCAGACAUCAACUCCAAGUCCCCACCCUGGUCUCUGUGACUCGUGGGGAAUAUUGGAUGCCAUUCACAAAGUCAAAGUGGGUGACUCUGGAGUGAAGAGCCUGGAGAUCUCCUCGUCUGUGCCGGUUUCACAGUCCACUGAGAUAGGCUACCUGAACGUGACCUCACCUGUGGCUCCCAACAGCAGGUUAGAGCAGGAAAGUCUCAGUGCCACAAGCGAUGAGGCCUGAGCGAGUUACAAUGACUUGCGAAAUGCCAUUACAAGGCUUGCCAAUCUAAAAAGUCACUGGAGCAGUCAAGGCUUAAAAAUAAUUGAACUGUAAAUGGGUAAAAAUCAGACAAAUCAUUUUUUGGCAUUGUGACAGUCUAUGUUAUGUUUUGUCUUCAGUUAUUUUCCUUACACUUCAGUUGUUUUUUUAAGGCGAAUUCGAAGAGCUGGAUUAUUGCUCAGGCUCAUACUGUAUCUCCAGGGCUGAAUUCAGUUGCAUUGCCUUUGUGGCUCACGUAGAGUGGCUCACGUAGAGGCCUGAGAUUUUAUAUCAUUGGAUGCUAUGGUCAGUAGCCUUGUCACAUCUAUAAGAUGCCAUAUGUAUUUUUUAUACAUUUACCCUAUAAUGGUAUAACUAUGGAGAAGCACUUAAAUCACUAUUAAUUUGAUGUUCAGAUGGUACAAUCUACAGGUGUUUACAACUGAAAUGCACUAUUGCCUUUGGAUAAGCGGUAAUGUAUAUUUUAGAGCGAUUUGGUGUAAAUGUCACCUGAUACAUAUCUUGCAACCCUUGCAUGUGUCAGUUGACCUUUUCUAAUUUUCUGUGCUGCUUUUGGGUGAACAAACCUGGUAAAAUGUUACAUAGAGCUGAGAUUUCUAUAGUCUUUGUAGAUAAAAGCAUGUACACUAUUGUUCAAUGGUUUGGGGGUCAGGACUCAGAGUCUAAUACUUGUAUUCAGCAAGGAUGCAUUAAAUAAUCAAAAAUUUGUAUAGAAAGAUUCUCUGGUUUCCCCAAAAAUAUGAAGCAACACAACCGUUUUUUAACACUGAGAAAAUCAGCACAUUAGAAUGACUUCUGAAGGAU
rnacentral:lncRNA from 1 species